GCCAUCUUUUCCACCGUUGAGACACGCACAGGCCUUGAGAGCUGCAACGUAAGUCACACCAUCGGCUACUACUCUAUCGUCCUCGAUCAUUCGCUGGUACUGCUCCAGAGCUAUCUUGGCUUCGCCACUCUCGGCGUGGCCCAUGAUGAGGCAGUUCCACGACGCUACUUCUCGACGCGGCAUUCUCUCAAACACUUCUCGAGCGUCAGUGGUGCUACCACACUUGGCGAACAUAUCAACAAGGCUAGCACCCACGGAAGAGUCCAACUCGACGUGCUCUCUCGCUUGGAGGUAAAUCUCCUUUGCUUUCUCUAGACUUUUCGAUUUGAUCCUCCUGCCUUCUACCAUUCUUGCUUCUUCCUUGGCUGCCAUGCUCGAGCACGCUUUUGCUGCCGCUACCACCGCUAUAGCAUCUGCCGCGCAUCCUUCUUCUUGCAUUCGUUUGUAGAGCUCCAGCCCCGUCUUUCCAUCUCCAUUUUCAGCAUAGCCAAGGAUCAUCCCCGUCCAAGAUACCACACUCUUGUUUGGAAUGCUCUCAAACACUGUCCUUGACUCUUCCAGGCUUCCGCAUUUGGCGUACAUGUCCACCAAGCUGUUGGCCACAAAGAUGUGUAGCUGCGCACAAAAACUUUGGCAAGCGUGACGGUGGAUCUCUCGGCCUUUUGCCAGUGCUCCCAGCUUCACCACUUUGCCUUCGACUGGAACAGCAGCUUCUUUGUCCGCCAAGCUCGAGCAGGCCUUGAGAGCAGCAACAUACGUGACAUAGUUUGGAGUGAAGCCGCGCUCUAGCAUCCUCUCGUACAGCUCCAGCGCGAGCUCGCCUUCGUGGUUAUCAGCAUGGCCGAGAAUGAUGGUUGUCCAGGAGAUUAGCGUGGGAUUGGGAACAGUGUCGAAGACAAGCCGAGCUUCACGCAAGCUUCCACACUUGCAGUAGACAUCAACGAGGCUGGUGGCAACGAAAACUUCCGAGGCAUGGCCGUCGGCU
rnacentral:lncRNA from 1 species